rnacentral:lncRNA from 1 species
UGAGGAGGCGCAUGCAGCUUUGGCUGUGGUGGUGGCUGAGGAGCCGAAUACGGAAUUGGAUUUGAUGGGAGCACCACCGCGGAAACCAUCGAUGGUGCUGCCGAGAUGGCCACCAGUUGCACUACUGAAGGAGGUACAGAGACAGUCUGAGCAGACUGCAGCGUCCCCGAAGGAGGCGCCAGAACAAUCUGGACCAUCUAAACAGUGACCGUUAAGAUUUGGACCCACUAGAAGAGUAGACUGAAUUGAUCCACCAUGACUAGCAAUGGCUGGGCUAGUGGAGGAGUCUCAAU